rnacentral:tRNA from 1 species
AAGCCGGUGGCGUAAUGGUAGCGUGUCUGACUCCAGAUCAGAAGGUACCGUGUUCGAAUCACGUCCGGCACA